CCUACGGGUGGCAGCAGUAGGGAAUCUUCGGCAAUGGACGAAAGUCUGACCGAGCAACGCCGCGUGAGUGAAGAAGGUUUUCGGAUCGUAAAACUCUGUUGUUAGAGAAGAACAGGGAUGAGAGUAACUGUUCAUCCGUUGACGGUUUCCAACCAGAAAGCCACGGCUCACUACGUGCCAGCAGCCGCGGUAAUACGUAGGUGGCAAGCGUUGGCCGGGUUUAUUGGGCGGAAAGCGAGCGCAGGCGGUUUGUUAAGUCUGAUGUGAAAGCCCCCGGCUCAACCGGGGAGGGGCAUUCGAAACUGGGAGGCUUGAGGGCAGGAGAGGAGAGUGGAAUUCCAGGUGUAGCGGUGAAAUGCGUAGAUAUAUGGAGGAACACCAGUGGCGAAGGCGGCUCUCUGGUCUGUAUCUGACGCUGAGGCUCGAAAGCGUGGGGAGCAAACAGGAUUAGAUACCCUAGUAGUC
rnacentral:rRNA from 1 species